rnacentral:rRNA from 1 species
UACGUAGGGUGCAAGCGUUAAUCGGAAUUACUGGGCGUAAAGCGUGCGCAGGCGGUUUUGUAAGUCUGACGUGAAAUCCCCGGGCUCAACCUGGGAAUUGCGUUGGAGACUGCAAGGCUAGAAUCUGGCAGAGGGGGGUAGAAUUCCACGUGUAGCAGUGAAAUGCGUAGAGAUGUGGAGGAACACCGAUGGCGAAGGCAGCCCCCUGGGUCAAGAUUGACGCUCAGGCACGAAAGGCGUGGGGAGCAAACGAGG